GACGAACGCUGGCGGUGUGCUUAACACAUGCAAGUCGAACGGAAAGGCCCUGAUUUUGUGGGGUGCCCGAGGGCCGAACGGGUGCGUAACACGUGAGUAACCUGCCCUUGACUUUGGGAUAACUUCAGGAAACUGGGGUUAAUCCCGGAUAGGAGCCCCUGCUGCAUGGUGGGGGUUGGAACGUUUCGGCGGUUGGGGUUGAAUUCGCGGCUUAUCAGCUUGUUGGUGGGGUAGUGGAUGACCCAGGCUUUGACGGGUAGCCGGCCUGGGAGGGUGACCGGCCACAUGGGGCCUGAGAUACGGCCCAGACGCCUACGGGAGGCAGCAGUGGGGAAUAUUGCACAAUGGGCGGAAGCCUGAUGCAGCAACGCCGCGUGCGGGAUGACGGCCUUCGGGUUGUAAACCGCUUUCGCCUGUGACGAAGCGUGAGUGACGGUAAUGGGUAAAGAAGCACCGGCUAACUACGUG
rnacentral:rRNA from 1 species